GUAGGUGGCAAGCGUUGUCCGGAAUUAUUGGGCGUAAAGCGCGCGCAGGUGGUUCUUUAAGUCUGAUGUGAAAGCCCCCGGCUCAACCGGGGAGGGUCAUUGGAAACUGGGGAACUUGAGUGCAGGAGAGGAAAGUGGAAUUCCACGUGUAGCGGUGAAAUGCGUAGAUAUGUGGAGGAACACCAGUGGCGAAGGCGACUCUCUGGCCUGUAACUGACACUGAGGCGCGAAAGCGUGGGGAGCAAACAGGGAUUAGAUACCCUGGUAGUCCACGCCGUAAACGAUGAGUGCUAAGUGUUGGGGGGGUUUCCGCCCCCUCAGUGCUGCAGCUAACGCAUUAAGCACUCCGCCUGGGAGUACGGCCGCAAGACUG
rnacentral:rRNA from 1 species